rnacentral:rRNA from 1 species
GACGAACGCUGGCGGCGUGCUUAACACAUGCAAGUCGAACGGAAAGGCCCAGCUUGCUGGGUACUCGAGUGGCGAACGGGUGAGUAACACGUGGGUGAUCUGCCCUCCACACUUGGAUAAGCCUGGGAAACUGGGUCUAAUACCGGAUAUGACCGACUGUCGCGUGGGGGUUGGUGGAAAGCUUUUGCGGUGUGGGAUGGGCCCGCGGCUUAUCAGCUUGUUGGUGGGGUAGUGGCCUACCAAGGCGACGACGGGUAGCCGACCUGAGAGGGUGAUCGGCCACACUGGGACUGAGACACGGCCCAGACUCCUACGGGAGGCAGCAGUGGGGAAUAUUGCACAAUGGGCGGAAGCCUGAUGCAGCGACGCCGCGUGAGGGAUGACGGCCUUCGGGUUGUAAACCUCUUUCGCCAGGGACGAAGCGUGAGUGACGGUACCUGGUGAAGAAGCACCGGCCAACUACGUG